rnacentral:rRNA from 1 species
UGGGAAUCUUGGACAAUGGGCGCAAGCCUGAUCCAGCCAUGCCGCGUGAGUGAUGAAGGCCUUAGGGUUGUAAAGCUCUUUUUGCCGGGGACGAUAAUGACGGUACCCGGAGAAUAAGCCCCGGCAAACUUCGUGCCAGCAGCCGCGGUAAUACGAAGGGGGCUAGCGUUGUUCGGAAUUACUGGGCGUAAAGCGCACGUAGGCGGAUUGUUAAGUCAGAGGUGAAAUCCCGGAGCUCAACUUCGGAACUGCCUUUGAUACUGGCAAUCUAGAGUCCGGAAGAGGUUAGUGGAAUUCCCAGUGUAGAGGUGAAAUUCGUAGAUAUUGGGAAGAACACCAGUGGCGAAGGCGGCUAACUGGUCCGGUACUGACGCUGAGGUGCGAAAGCGUGGGGAGCAAACAGGAUUAGAUACCCCCGUAGUCCCUGAGCGGGCUGGCAAGGCGCAU